AGCAGGACUCGAGGUAUUUCUUUUCACCUGGAGGCAUAGUGAAAAAAUUACUGAAAUAUGAAGAAUGUUGGAAACUGAGAAAGUUUGGAAACUUCUGCAAUAAUAAGGCCUGCCCGUGGAUCAAUCAGCAUGUACUUCCUCUUGCCCGUGGACCAGUCAGCCCACACUUCUUCCAUUCUGAGCCCAUAAACACCCUGGACUGAGCCACAUAUUGGGGCUGCCUGCCUAUGGAUAGAAUCUACUCAUUUCUGCUGACAGCUGUUCUGCCAUUCAAUAAAACUCCUCCACCUUGUGCACUC